CGGGUUUGAAUGGAGGAUAUUAUACAUGGUAAUCUUUAGGUACAGAACCAAAUAGGUGGGUAGAUUGACACUAAAAAGGGUAAUUAAAAUUUUCUUUGGUGUUAAAAAAUUGUGUUUCAUUUACUAAUGGUCACACAGGCCAAAAUUGUGGGGAGAUUUUGGAGAAAAACACUAGUGAUAUUAGUAUAUGUUUCUCUCUUCCAAUAACCAGCUAGUAGAUGUUUCUCUAGGUGAUUUUUCUUAGCUCUCUUCCUUACUUCCUGAAAUUUUCAUAAAUUUUUUAGAGACUGUUUGUUGUCCAUUUCUCCCAUCAUGAAUGUAAAAUUGGCUUUGUCCCAUUCUGAAACACUAGUGAUAUUUGGUUUUCUCCAUUCCAUUUUUUUGUUCUCAUCCAACCUAUUCUCAAGAGAUUUUCCCAACAUUUUUCAAUCAUAGAAUAUAAAAUUAUAUGAAAUAAGUUUAUAUUGUAAUGUGGAUGCUAGUGUGUAUGCUGCACUUUGGCCUUGAAAAGGAGGGAAAAAAAAAAAAGAAGUUUGGCAGAUAUUAUAAGGUUGAUGCAUCUCAGUUUCAUAUUCCAAGCCUUAUUGUUUUCAGACUACAGAUGCUUUCAUCACUAAUCAUGUUUCAGUUUUCUUCAACAGCUUGAGAUCCCUUCUGGACAUAUAUACAAAAGAUCUUUCACUUGGACAUAUAUACAAAGGACUCCUAGUUUCUGUUAGUCUCAAGUCAUAGAUUGAUUUGUAAGUCUCUCAAUCUUCAACUUCUCAUAGUUCUGCAUUUUGGACACCAGAUAGAAGUGAAGUUAUCCCACUUUGAUUCUUCUGCAGUAGCAUUUGAUAAUAUGUCAUGUUGUUAUGUAAUUGCUUUUGUUUUUCAAGAUAUAUAUAAAGAUAAGAUUAGUGCUUCUAAAAGCUAUUCACUACAAGGCUCUAUUCUGCAAUGAGUAUGACUAGUCUACAUGAUGAUCUAAAACCUCUUCCAGUUUUUAACAUUUACCAGUUUGGAUCUAUUUUAACAAGUUAUAAAACUUGUCUACAUGACAUCUCUUAAAAAAUAGGUUCAACAAGAUAUAAUUAUCAAAAUAGUAUUACCAAAAUAGUGACAAAAUUUAAGGAUGAUUUUAAUGUUUAUUUAUUUUUAUGUCUAUGAAGUUUAUUUGUAAAAACAUUUGUAAUUAGAUUUUAAAUUGAUAGGGAUUAAUAAAAAUUUUGCUUGCCCUAUAAUUGAAAUCAACUUGGAAAUUUUAGAAGAUUUUGGAUCAAAUCUAGUCAGAUCUUGCUUUGAGGGGUGUGGAUUUUAGUAGCUCUUAUUUGUAUACAAAGCUCCUUUUCUUUGCAUCUUGUAGAAUAGAACAGAGUCCCAGUUUCAUGUGCUAUCUAUUGUUUAUAGGAAAUUGUAUACUUUCUUAGCUAACAAACAGAGAAGAAAACCAGAGGAAAGAAUAGGAAGAUUCAUUACUGGGUUGUUUUUUCUCUUUCCAAAUUUUGUCCCGUUUUUAAUGGAUUCUGAUUGAUGGUUAUUUUUUCUUUGUUUUAUGGCAGUGACUACAAUUGAUUCUGGUAGCAAGGCUCUUGAAUUUCUGAGGCUUGAAAAUGACCCAAACACAAUGAUUGUUUCUCCAAACAGUCAUUAGGUAUGGUUUACAUGAGUGAAGGUUUGUGAAGUUUUUAUGUUGUUAUGGAUUCACGGAUGAAAAGCUGCUUUAUAAGAUAUCCAUGGUUUGGUUGCUGAAAAACUGAGGAAAAGGGAAAGUAAAUUUUGAAUUAUUUUUAUUUUUAUUUUUCCGGGUUUUUGUUCCUUAUCCAUGGAUUUCCAUAUCAAAUUUUUUUAUGAUUACAUUUUUUUCUUUGAUUUCUAUAAUAAAAAGACAUGUCCUUUGAUUUUUUAUGUAGAUAAAUACAUUGUGGCAGCAACGUAAGUUCGUAUACUUUGUUCUUCUGGCUGGGUAGUUCUCCUUUAAGUUUCAAAAAGACAAUCAAAUUUUUUGUUUAGUUCUUUGUUUUGAUUUGUCUGUAGUCAAUCUAUAUAUGCAUCCUGCUUGUGCAGAUUUUUUUGGAGGUGCAAUUUGAUGGAUAUUGGCCCGCAAAAUUUGGCAUGGAUUCAACCAGAAAUGAACUGGCUUUGGUAUCAAUGGGAAAUUUGGAGGUGCAAUCUGUAUCAAUUACAGGAGGCCCAACCCUGUUCAAUGGUUAUUCAACAGUUCAUACCUCCAAUUAUUUUUGUUGUGACACAGUGGCUUAUUAAUCACCCCAAGUUUCAGAAAAAUCCACUUUACAUCAGUGGUGACUCAUAUUCAGGCAUAAUCAUCCCCAUGGUGGUUCAAGAAAUAUAUAUCCAAUAUGGCUGAGGAAAGGAGAAUAGUUUCAUGAGUUAUAUAAAAACACUAUUUAACCUAAGAUUUUGCAUUUCUUAAGUUCAAUUUUCCUUUUGUUUUGAACACCCAAACAGAGUUUUAAGAUUGACUAAUCAAUUCAACUCUUAGAGGAACUAAGAAUACCUGUAAAUGGAGAUGAAAAGAAGGACAUGAUGGUUCAGGAUUAGGCUCCAUCUGAGCCCAUGCUUUCAUUUUUCCUUUGGGAUUCCAAAAAGACUACAUAUAUUUCUAAUAAGGUGCCUAAUCGUCCAAUUGAAAUUUCCUUUCUUCUUAUUUUUUGGCUGCAGGUAAUGAUGCAGGGAAAGAGCCAAAAAAUGAAUAUUCAAGUAUGUAAUCUAAUUAUAUGAUUCCAGUGACUUGCGCCUUAUGGUUUUAACUUUUGUACAUUAUAUUUGAAUCCAUUUGAUCUUCUUUUAAUUGGACUCAGGGAUACACCGUUGGAAACCCAAUAACAAAUCACUUUAGUGACUUCAAUUCAAGAAUUGCAUACACUCAUCAAGUAGGAAUUCUAUCAUAUGAGCUUUAUGAGGUGAUUAUUCCCCUUACUCACUCGGGUUUAAUUCUUAAUCGAAUAUGAUUCCAAAAUUUGCAUUGAUUUGUUAUGCAUUUCUAGGCAACUAAAGCAGUAUCCUCUUGUGAAUACUAUUAAAUUGUACAAGGGAUGGUUCAGGGGUUGCCACCUAAGAAGCAUUCAGAGAAUGUCAUUCAGGUUUUAGACACAUGCUUGUACCAUUCUACAUAUUGAAUUGAAUUUUUGGUUUUGACUGAAUUGAAAGAUGGAUUUUUUUUUUUUUUACUUGUUUUGCAAAAAUUGUAAGAAAUAAUCUGAAAAAAAAAAAGAAAACAAAAAUGCAAAGAUUCAGGUGGUUGAAGAUACCCCAAGUGGCAAUUGACUGAAUUAGAUAAAAUGAAGAUCAAUUCAACUAUGUGUUUAUAGAAUGUUUUAAGAGGCAAUUGGGUUUUAUGUUUUCUUUAAAUCUAAAUGGCAUCAUGUCUCUUUCUUUUGACUAGUCUUUUCCUUUCCUUACUUUUACCAAAUACCAAAUAGAGUUUGAGCAUGCAGUUUUACUCAACUUCUGCUACUAAUUAGAGUAUUUGUUGGUGAUAUUUUCUUUUUCAGGCCAAUAUCUAAAAGCUAAGGUUGAUGGAGGAUUUGGCAGGGACAUGCUGGAGUUUUUGUUGAAAGGACAUGUGGUUGCUUAUAGAACCAUGGUUACAAGAGUUUCUUGAAAUAGCCUGAAGAUUAACUGAUUGAUAGAGUUGUCGACUUGUGAUGCAGUUGCGUUUGCUGAUGUUUGCUGAAAGAUUAUCUAAAUGGCAGUGUCGAUUUGAUUAUGGUUUGCUGAUGUUUAUAUUGACAUUCAGUUUGGUAUCUGUAACUGGCUAUCCUCAACCAUCCUCAUUAGUAGCACCACAGCUGUGUUUGUAUCCAUAGGCAUCUGCCCAAUGUGGGCUGGUGAUGAUCUUCACAAGUUGGUUGCUGGCAAUGUUGAAAAGCUUGGGAACUUCUUAGAAGGUAUGCCUAAAAUAAAAAGGUGGCAUUACACCCCAAAUGAAUGUGUGGAUUGCUCGAGAUAAACCCAAAGAGCACCAUACCUUUUACAUUUUUUUAAUCUCAUUUUGAUGACUUAUAAGUAAGUGAAUUUGCAGGAUUUUCAGGGGAAUAUUUUAGAGUCUUAGGAGAUGGAGAAUCCAAGGAUAGCAAAACAUUUCUUCAAGGAUACAAAAGUAUUUUGACUUCAAAAAUCAUUGAAGAUUCCUUGGUGAGUUGAAAGAUUGAUCUAUUUCACUGUCAAAAUUAUCUAAAUUCAUAGACUACAUCAAGUUACAACUUGUUUAAAUUUCUCAAUUUGAAGACAAAUUUUGUAAGAUAGGAGCCUAGACAUGGUCGUUUCAGGUUUCGUCAUCCUUAGAAACAAUACCAAAAGAUUGGAUCCCUAGCUGGCCAAUGCACCUAUCUCAUUGAUGCUCUUAACAGCUACCCUCACUCUCAUAUCCCGGUAGUAAACUCAACUCACAAACUAAAAUUCAUUGCCUUUAGAUUACUUGAUUUAACUUGGGUAAGAAAAAGCUAUGGCAUAAUCUGCUUUCUCAACUCACUUCACUCUGAUGUGGUAUCCUCACAGGCCUCCAUAGAGAUCCAAAGCAAAAUUCAAGAGUAUGACUAAACCAUGCUCUGUUGAUCCCUAUAUUGUAAACUUAAAAACUGCUGCUAAAACCCUCAAAUCGUUGCUCGAAACUCAUUCUUGUGAAGACGUUGACCUUCUUGAGCUAAUGUCAACUGCUGUUAGUAGGUUUAUGUUUAAUGGCAUUAUCCAUCAAAAUUAGUCUAAAAAUGUUUAUGUUUUAUUUUGCAAAAUGUAACAAAUUCCUCUAUAUUUUGAAUGCUAGGUGAGUAUUAUUAUCGUGGGAGGAGUUCAUAGAAUUUUAAUUUAAAAAAAAAAUCAAAUUAAAUGAAAACCUAUAUGUAGAAUGACGACAAAUUUAUAUUCCAAUAUACAAGGCCGAUUUAUAUUUCUUUCUUCAUUGAGCAAAACAGUGUAAAGAAAAUUUGGAUUGCCCAAUCGUGUUAAUUUUAGUGAAUUGAUAAUUGUGUGGUCCAAAUUGGAAACUAGGAUAUCUUAAUGUUGCUUUUAUAUAUGAUUCAUGUAUGCAAUAUGCCUAUAAUUUUCUACACAGGAGUAUUAUUGUUAAUGGGUGUGUAACUAUAGCCUGAGCCUAGGAUAGUGGAUCAAAAGAACAUGGAAGAGGAACACAAAGUUGUCUUAUCUGGUAAAGCUGGAGAAGUUGACUAUUUACACUCUCUACAUGGCCAAAUUGGGAAACCAAAGGCAAAUGUAUUUACCCGGUUCACUGGAUAGAUGUUUAUAGAAUCGAAGAAGGCAAAAUAGUUGGAUUCCCAGGACAAAAGUCUUAACUAGACAAAUAUUUAUCAAAUUGAUUUAGCAUUAUGCUUUGUAAUGAUUGAAAAUUGAAAGAGUAAGCUAUUUUAAGUUUAAAUUCAUUCAUUUCUCCAAUUUUAAUGUGUUCAUAUUAAAAUGUCCCACUAAUCCAUGUUGAAUGUUCUUGCAGUGCUAAACACAAGGUAGAAUUGGAGCUUUGUGCAAAAAAAAUGCCAAACACUUCCAUGAUCUUAGACUUCUUCAAAGGUUGGGAAAAAUGCAAGCUCUGGAAUGCAUUUCGUGAACAUAUGGAGACAUUGAACAGGUAAAUAUUUACAAGAUGGUCAACACUAUAAUAGAUGCUCAACAAACAUGAUUGACUUGAGAGAGAAUUUGAGUAACCAGCAUAGCAUUUUUGCGAAAACCAUGUUAGGCUUGAUAGUGCUUUUAUCUAAUGCUAUACAUAUAUUGAUUGAAAUAGUACAAACAUAGAGCUACCUUUCUAUCAUUAUUUGGUUCUUAAUUUUGUUAACUGAGUCUAAAAUAUAUUAGAUGUGUUAAAUUUUGUGAUUCAUCAUUAUGAAAGGCAUCAUAUAUGAGUGCACACACAUUGAAACUCAUAUUAUCUCCAGUUGGAAAAUAAAUAUUUCAUUGAGGGUGUCUUAUGGUUUAGGGAAUGAAGUAAAGAAUUAUGUCAUUCUGCAUAACCUCUAAUUUUAUACUCUAGUUUAGACAUAUAUAUUCUUCUUAUAUCAGAUACUUAGAUUUUGGCUUUUUCAUUAUAUAUGAAAUCCAUAUGCAUGAAAACUUAAAUAAAGAGAAAAUAUAAUACAAAGUGGGAAGCAAAUCACUUGAUCCCCAGGGCCAAUAGAGCUGCAGAAAUAUCCUGAGCUUCAUAACCCUCUUCUACAAAGGCAAUAUGAGGGCUAUCUUGUGGGAUCGUGUUUUCCCUUUUGAAGUUGUCUUUCAUUGCAAUGAAGUUUCUCCCCACCAUACCUCACCAAACCUAUUAGAAUAAUGGCCUUGUGGAGGCCAACAACUAGGUCUUCAUAAUUUGUAUCCCAUCUUUUCUAAACAAACACCACCAUUUUAAAGAGGUCAAUUCCCCACCUGAUUGAGACAUACCUGCAGAAGACAUAAAUGUAAAAGAGUUGGUAGUGUUUUUUAUGUGUGCUAUAUGCAUAGGGAAGAGAUCUUACCUUGGUGCUUAGACCCUUGAUGCAGAUAAGGGUACCACAUUCAACCUUAAUGCAAUUUGCAUAUGGACAAGGCAACAAUGGAAGCCUCUUAUCUGCAUCCUUUUGUUACAGGCCAUCAAUUCUCUAAGUUUAUCAUUUAUUUGUUUAAAUUCUUAUUGGAAAUAUAGUACAAGAAAAUCAAUCAGUUCAUAUCCAAGGUACUAGUCUCUACAACUUUUUUUCCAAAGGGUGGUUAGUAACAAUCUUACCUUAACUUUUGGUUUCUCCUACAGCCACCCACAUUUCAUACUCCACAAUGUCAACCAUUGAUCUAACAUUCUUAGCAUGCCAUCAAUACUCAACAUGGGCCUACUAGAUCUUUUACAUAAAAACAAGGGUAAAGAAGAAAUUUUAUCCAUCUAUGAAUGUGCACCCAAUGGAUUAUUUGAUCCAUAUUGAUGCAAUACGGUCAAAUGCACUAGUAAAUAUGUUCCUCCUCAUGUCAACAUAUUUUAUUGUCUAGGAGGAAUUACACUUACUAGUUUUUUAGUACAAGUAUUUGUACUACAAAUCAACUACAAAACCCCUCAAUGGACAUUAAAUUUCCCUCCCACAAUUAUAAACCAAUGCAUCAAAUUCUUUUAAGUUCACUUGAUAACAUCUUAAAUUUUCUACUAUUCUCUUGUAAACUCAAACCAAUCAACAAUACCAAUCUUAUUCAACUUAAGCUAGAGUUGAUAACUUUCAUCACAUUUUUUAUAAUUGUCAGUAAUCUCUUAGUGCAAUCUCUAUUGCUAUCAUAACAAUCUAUUACAUACAACUCUUGUUUUUUUUUAGGAUUGUGGCUAACACUAUAAUUAAGCCAUGUGGGUUAGAGUUUCAAUGAGUUCCUUCUGUUAGUUUCUGCAUUAAGUGCUCGAUUAAUCUUAAAGUAUCCAUAAAGAGAAACCUUUAAAAGAAGGUCUUCUACAUCCCUUAGGGAGUCACUCAUGGGUUCUUCAAUAGUUGGCAUGAUCCCAAGAUGGGUGUUGUAGUGGCGGUUCCAGUGGUGCUCAACAUGGGUAAGUAGUUACAGUAUGUUCUAGCCAUGAAAACUAAUGGAUGUUCUUUAGCCCAUUUUAUGGAACUGAAGUCAUAAGUUAUUGUCAGUAAGGAGGUUUAGGAGGGCAUUUUCUAUGCCUUUUUGGUCAUGUCUAUGAGGAGUUUACUGUUAUGUGCCUUGUUAGAUAAAACAAGUAGGUUUAUAGAAAAUAACUAUUGAAAGUUCAAUAUAUAAACUCUUAUGACGAUGGGCUAAGAUCUAAAUAAGCAGAAUCCACCGGGCUUGCUAGUCUAACACCUAAUUGUAUUGAUCUAAAAUUUACCUUGAUAAUAUCCCCAUGCCCACUAUUUUUUGUAGCAACAAUAGAUAAACCAUAUUCUAACCCAAAAAAAGGGGUGUAAACCAUAAGUACCUACUUAUAAGGCAAUAAAUGGAUUAGAUUGGAACCAAAUGGCUCCACAAGAGCUGGGUUGAUAAAAACCCAUUUCAAGAGGCAAAUCCACCACAAAAGUGGUAACAUUAGAUGUUUGUAUGUCACAAUGAAAAGAACAAAAAGGUUUAGGUGUUGAAAACCAUAAGCAGGGACCCAGGCUGAUUAAUUGUGGGUCUUGCUAUCGACAUGAAGUAGCCUAAUUUGGCCAUUGAUACUUAGAGAUGAUGGGACUUAUGUUUUCUGUUAGCUAUUUCAUCAAUACUAAAAAUUUUGGCAGACCAUGAUCAAUAUGAAUUCUUAGAACUUGCUACAGCUUUGUUAAGGGCCCACUAAUCUUUGAUAGGGGAUCAUAAUGUAUGUGUUGAAUAUUCUACAAGGAUUAUGAAAUUUACUUUAGUUUUUGUAGCUAACGUAUGUGUUCCUAGAACUUUGGACUAUGAUGCUUUGGAUAAGGCACUUGACCACACAAGUCACACUUCUCUAUGAACUUAAGCACUGUUGUAAGGGAAACCGAGCUACUCUUAGACAUUUCUUCUAUGUCGUCUUUGUUUCCUAAAAUCAAUGUCUACAAAAACAAGACCAAAUCAACAAGAAACAUAGCUUAGAGUCAAUGUUAAAAUUGUAUUUGUUUUCUAUUUGGAUCAUGGGAAAGCGCUUUGAAAUGAAAUUUUUUUACUAGUCUGGCUAUCUCUCCAAAAGCCUUGAGCAGAGACUAGUGACAUUAUUUUUAGGAUCAAGACAAGACAACACAAGUGUCAUUGUCACCUUAUGAAUGUUGCAUUGUAACAUAGCUAAAGUAAAGCAAUACCAUGGAAAUUUAGUACUACUUGGUUUAGUUAAGGUAUGGUUUUGAUAUUGCUGGAGUCAAUUCCUCUACCAUCUGUGGCUGGUCAUAAAUGAUUCUAGUCUAGGUAAGUGAGUUGUACUUGGCUACAGUGAAUACUUCAUUUUCUUUUCAAGUUCAAGAAUUGAUCUUGUGGUUGUUUUUACUCACUCCAUUAGGUUAUCGUGGUUCUUUCGUUUUCUUUACCUUGCUCCUAUAGUAAUGAAAUACUUCCUAUCUACAAGUGUGUUGCCAAAUGCAUAUCUAAAUGGUGGUUUAUUCUUGCCAACAGUUGCCUUGUCCCCAGAAGUCUCCAAGUGAGUAAUGAAAGGAUAUAAAACUGAUUUCCAUAAAGGAUGAAAGUCUCUCUACUGCAUCAGCAAUCGAUGAACCAGUGCAUGCAAUCAUCGUGUUUUCUUCUAAAAAUCUGUGUGAAAAUUGCUAGUCCAAAAUUGAUUGGCCACGUAAGCAAAGUUAGUUGAUUAACUAACUGAAAGUGCGAGCUGGCACACCUGUUUGCUUAGCAAUUUUUUUUUUCAUGUACUCAUGUAUAAAAAUGUGAAGAAAAAAAAAAGAUUUUUUUGAAUUGUAGAAAGGAAGUGAGAGGAUUUUAGAGUGUGAGUCUUCUUCACUAUACUGUAGCGAGAGCUUGAUGAUUCUCAGAGAUUCUUGAGGGUGUAAAAUGGUUCAAUCUUAGUGGAUUUUUGGAGGUGAUCUUGAUCCGUGGAUGUAGGAUUCAAUCUUGGAUCCGAACCACGUAAAUCCUGCUUGUUUUGUUAUGUUUUGAUAUUAGAUAUUAUUUUCUUUUGAUUUAUGGUUUUGUUUUCUUUGUCUUCUUGGAUUGGUGUUCAAUCUCAAUUCAUUGAGGAACUUGGAUAAAAACUCAACACUAUGUUUUGUACUUUUCAUUCAACUUGGAUGAUUGGAUAUUUGCUACAAUGUUAGGCUAGAUGACCGAGUUAGCAUCUUCAAUUGAUGGAAUUGAAGAAGAACUUAUUUAACACAAUGAUUUUAACCAUCUCUAAGUAGUUGCUUCUAUUUGAAAUUAUAUAUCAAAAAGUGUAAUUUUGAUUUUGCUAAAGUUCACAUUUUUCAUUAAAAAAAUAUAUUUGUUCUCACCAUCAUAAAAUAUUUUACUAAAAAAGAAAUUUAUAGGCUUUUAAAGGAAAAGGUAAGCCCAACUUGAUGGAGAGUUGGGUUCAUUCUCUAGAUCAAUUGGCUCACUAGUACUUGGCCAAUGAAGGUUUUGGUAAGUGGAGCUAAGGACAUUCAUUUGGGCUUGAUUCUUUAGAUAUGUUUGUGUGGGCUCUUUCAUUUUCCUCUAACCCAUGAUGAUCUAGGUUAGGAUCUAUCCUUUGUGUAAUGCCUUUAUGUGGAAGGAUACAAAAAAAAUUUAUAUCGUAUCCAUAUGAUUGGUCUUUGAAGUAUAAACAUAUGAGGGGUAGGUGGAAUCCAUUGUUAACAAGCCAAAAUGAGAGAACUUUUUAGAGCCCUAGCAAACUAUCUCUAGCUCCAAAAUUAUGGCUGCAAAUAUAAGAAAAUAGAGAGUCUAAUUCUUACAUGAAAGGAAUCAAUGAGAGAACUUUUUGUAUUUUAAAUGUUAAAAUUGUUGAUAUAAAAAGUGAAUAAUUAUGGUGAAAUAGUGAAGUUAACUCAUUAGUGGCAAUGACCUUGUUAUGCACUUGACUUGGGUAUUCAAUAAUGAUAUCAAUUAACUUAUACUAAUGGCUUCCGUAAGAAAUAUAACACAUGAUGCAAAUGUUGUGUCAAAAGAUCUUUAUCUUGAAAGUCGCAUUAUUGAAGUGAUCAAAAGCAUUUUUAAAAGAUUACAUUCUUAAGCAUGAUAUAGUCACCUUCAUAGAUGACAAAGUCACCUCCAUCUCAACCUUACCCUUGUCAUUUAAAUGUAUUCACAAACAAAAAAAUUACAAAUAAAGCUAUGCAAGCAAAUGUCAUUCAAAAAAAUGAGUUGAAUUUAAAAAAUAUCGUCUUAUCCUAAAUUUGUAAUAUUAUUCAAUCAUAAAAAAAUUAUUGGUAAUAAUAUAUUAUUUAAAUAAAAAGAGAUGAAAGUUUUUUGAAGUAAUUAAUUAUCAUUUUCAUAUAAUCUCUAUAAAUAUUUAUGUUCAUAAAUUUAUUUAUGAUAUUAAUCUUUGAAUGAUUUAAAGUUUGACUAGCGGAAUAGUAUAUUAUUGAGUAUGAUAGGAAGAAAGGUUUACUUUUCCAUAUGAAUGCAAUAAAGAAUUUUUGUUCCACAUAUAAGUGUUGCAAAUCAAAUUGAACUUCUUCUUUCUAUGUUUUCAUAAUAUUGGAAAUUUACACAGAACUCAUACAUGCCAGUUUCCAAUAUUAUGGAAACAUAAAAAGUAUGAGUUAGUGUCAAUUUUCAAUAUUAUGGAAAUAUAGCAAGAAGAAUUUUAACUUGAUUUGCAACACUUAUAUGUGGAAUAAAAGUCAUGGAAUUCUUUGUUUAUUCUGGAAAAAAAAAAUUAUAUACAAAAUUAAUAUACUAAGAGUUUCUUAAUGAUUAUUUUGGGAAAAGAAUAAAAAAAAAGGGAAAAAUAUGAUUAUAUAGAAAUACAUUACAUUAUAUUUCAAUAAAUAAAUAAAUAAACAAAUAUGUGUGUGCAUGUGAAGACAUGUUUGUUACAUGUGCAUGGAUUUGUAUGUAUUUCUAUAUGUUAAUUUAACAAAAUAUAAUAAAAAUUAAUUAGUAUAAAGAAGGAGAGGAAUAAAUUAAUCCUAAUUAUAUAAAAUAAAUAAAUAAAUGAACAAAGGUAAGUUUGCAAAAAAAAAAAAAAAAGCGAAAACAAAAAUAAAGUUAAGUGCAUUAGAAAAAUUAUUGUAAAAAUAAUAAAAAUCUUUGUUGAAAAACAAAUUGCUAAUAUUAUUCAAAAAUCGUUUCUAAUGAAUUAUUUCUAUUUAAUUUUAACCUAAAAAAGUGUAGUCUUAUUUUAUAAAAAUUAUUUCAUUUUAUUAUAUUUAAUGAAAAUUAACUUACUUUAAUAUUGUUAAAAAAUCGAAUUUUUUGUCCAUACUUUCUCAAUUUUUGGUUUCACGUGGUUUGCAAUCCACACUCCACGCGUUUUGAGCGGGAUGUCAGAUUGUCUUUUUAUCCAAUAUCAAAGGAUGUGGGGACUAGGCUGUUGGCUUUGAUCUCAUAGGAAGCGGCCCCACCUCCACUCUCAUAUAGGUGAAUCCAUCAAGUAUGUUCUGCAUUUAAACAUACCAUCCAUAAGGAAUAUGGUAUUCAUUAAGAGUAAACACUCAACCUUAGUAAAUGCAAAAUACGCUCUAUCUACACCAUAGGGAUAAACUCUCAUACAAUUAAAGUUGAUAGAGCACCUCAAGUCAACAAGUGAUUUGUUAUUACCCUUAUGAACCUACUUCAUGGAAUUUCCAUUCUAAUAGGUUGGGCUACCACCACUGAUUCCGUGAAAGUCCAGUCGGGUCUUUUAAUAAAAAACAUUUAUAAAACCUAUGACCUCAUACUAGCGUAGCAAAGCUACUAUAGCAUAGUGGCUCUAGGGUCGAACUCUGGGAUGAGUUUUCAUUCUACCAGUGAUAUACUCAAGAUUAGAAAUUGAGUCUGAUAAGUUCCUUUGUCAAAAACUUAAAGUUUAAAAGAAAAUAAAAUUUGUUUUGAAAGUGGUGUUUGAAACUAAACUAACAUAAAACUAGGUAAAAAUAUGGAAGAAAGAAAGUCUCCCGGAGCUAAGGGUUGCUAGGAUCAAGUUCAGAAUGCAAAGUGGAAAUUCCGGAUUUCUCAUCUCGUAUUGGGGGCAACAACAUAAAGGAUGGUUGUUUCCCGAACCGAUAUAGGUUUAACAAUGAAGGUUUAAUCCAUAAAAAAUCAAUAGAAAUGGUAUAGUCAGGUUCCAUUAAUGUCUUUAGACACUAUGGGUCUUCACCUUGAGCCACUUUCCAAUGGCUCGUACAUGAUAGAUAACUAAUGGUCUGAUGUGGAUCUAGCAAUUAGCAUCCAUAGAGACCUGAAGCUUACCAUGUAUUGGUCAUUCAAAGUGAUUCUAAGGGAUUUAAAGCAAAACUUUAGAUUUAAAAGCCAUUUAUGAACUCCAGCUACCUGUAUUUAAUGCAUGAGAGUUUUCCACUUUAGCAUUUGGACUUUUCACCUAGCUUCCUUCACUCGAAGAAACCAAAGGUUUAGCCUCUCAUCCUCUGGGAAAACAUCCUCAGAGGUUGUUUGGCUUUCAAGAAAAAGAAAAUAGUAGAGAGAAAAGGAAAGCAAAGAGACCCCUGUAUUUUACUAAGUGUAAAAUAUACAAUGUGUUCGUCGUUUCUUACGAGAGAUGAUUUCCACCCCUUAUACAGUCUUUACAAAAGCAAAGCCUGUGAUUGGCUAAUUACAGGGAUAAGAAAGGAAUUUACAUCAAAAAAUACAAAAGAAAAGAUCUAAAGUGGAGUCGGCAGAACAGAGGAGAUUUCGCACCAUGCAUGGGCUGGUGCUAAUUUCGCACAAAGAGAAGGUGUUGUGCGAAUUUCGCACAACCUGAAGGUGUUGUGCGAAUUUCGCACAAGCUUGGAGCAGUUGUCUUCCGAAGGUCAUAUCUUCCUCAUUUCAGCUCCAAAUCAUACACGGUUUGAAGUGUUGGAUUCUUGACUUCCUGAGCUUUGAAAUGGUAUAUAGCAUGUAGAAAAUGGACUUCGGAAAGUGCUCCAAAAGUGCGAAGGAAGACUGCAGCUGCUGUCCUCUGUUUUCUUCACUUUGUUUGUUUUCCCUCUUUGCUUCUCUCCUUUACUUGGCUUGUCUUAAUGAUCCAAAAAGUUGUCAAAACACUAAAACUAGCCACAAAUAUGAUUAGAAGUCAUUGCUAGGUCCUUAACAUGCCAAUUGGAAUAAAGAUGGAGAACUACUACACAAAAGUGCUUAAAACAUAAUGAAUUAAAAAUGCAAAAUAACACUUUUUGGGUAGUAAUCACUCCCCCCAACUGACACACUGCUAGUCCCUGAGCAAUGAAGGAGAGAAAAAUAAAGAAAAAUAGAUAAUAUAAUAUUUUAUAAAAUCAUGCUAAUCACUCCAAAAAAUAAUCAAGUGGCAUGAUUGGAUCAAACUCUCACAUGGCAAGUCAAGGAUAUAAAACUCAAUCAUCAACAAGAGUCAUCAAAUAACUUACCUAUCACAACAUGCAAAGAGCGGGCAUUGUGCAAAUUUGAGUAUCAAAAUAAUUUCCACUCCCAAAGGACCAACUCUUAAUCUUCCACAAAAAUCUAAGUGUUAAGGUGCUUAGUUUCCAGUUAUAGUAUGUCAAAUUAUAUUCUCCCCCCCCAACUAAGGUUUUUCUCUAACUUUAGCAACACUAACUCACAUAUAAAAGGCUAAGAACGCACCUUUUUUUCUUUUUUUCUUUUAUAUAUAAAUACUCCACCCAUCCAUCCAUGUAACGAGUAGUGAGGUCGGUGACUCCCAACCAAUAAAGGCUUAGGGCACCAGGCUUUAAAGAUUUUCACCAUAUACCCCUCGGACCUUGCUCGGGUUUCAAAGCAAGUGAAGCAAAAUUUUUUUUCAUAAGACACAUUGGCCUUUUAUAAGGUGUCCUAACACUAAUAGAAUGAAGUCAAUGGCACCAAGUCGAAAAUUUCCUAAGUUUAGGGGGGUGAGAAAGUUUUCCAUCUUAUAACUGGAAUCUAAUGUGUUCAGUGUGUGAAAAGAUUAGAGUGGAAGACUUAAGAUUGAAAUCAAAAGGAGCUUCAACAAUUUAUCAACUUUAAUAAGCAUAAUACAAACUCUGAGACUAUAGGAAUAAGAUAAGAAUUUAAUUUCUCCCAUUUUCUUUUGAGAAUUUAUCUUUGAGAAAACAAAGAGAGUUUGUAAAAAAUUUGUUAGCAAAAUAACUUAACCAAAAAUUAAACAAAUUACUUCCUCAACUCUCCCCCCAACUAGGAUGAACAUUGUCCCCAAUGUUCCAAAAGCAAGUGAUAAUAAAAGGGAGGAAGUGAUACCUCCUGAUAGUAAGGGACUCUGAAUGAAUAGGAGAAACCACAUGUUGCAUAAGAAAAGAAAAAUCAUAAGAGUGAUGAUUAGAGGAAAUAAAAAGGAAUAACUAAAAUACACAAAAAGGAAGAUGUCUAUAUUAACUGAGAGAGUACAAUAUACAAGAGAAACAUGGAAUACAUCCAAUCCCAAUAUAAAAGUAGUCCAAAAUAUAUAACACAUCCAAAAACAUAGAGUAUAGAUACAAAUCAAAAAGGGAGAGAAGUGAUCGUAUGAUCAAGUAGUAGGCUCCUCUGGUGGAUAGGAGGGGUCCUCAGCUACAACUGUGGAAGGUACCGCUACAGGUGGAGCUGGUGGCAAAAGAUCGAGGUGUUGUUGAAUCUCACAGAGAAUGAGAGUCUGCUGGUCCUGCCGAAGCUGGAAGUGGUCCAUUCGCUCCAUAAUGGCUGUCUGAGUAGUGGUCAGAGUCUGGAAAGAAACGAGCAAGGCACAAUACUCUGCACCAGGGAUAGUAAUGGGCGGCUCUGAGGUAGGAGGAACAGCAGGUGGGGCGUCAGACGAUGUUGCCUCUGGUACGGGCUCUGAGGGAGCUGAAGAUGGAGCAGAUAUAGAUGGUAAAGACUGUGGAGGGACUUCCCUUGGCUCGGGAAGUUCUGGGGAAUGCUGAUGGAGCCAUACCUGAUUCCAUUGGUCAAGAGAGAAGCUCUCUCGACAAUGGCGGCGAGGCUCAGAAUGAGGGUCAGUAGGAAAACCCAUAUGCGCCAGAACAUGGCAUAGCAGCCGAGGGAAAAGUAAAAGAAUGGUGUCUGCCCUCGUAAGACGCCGCGUAUGCACCUUCUCCUCAAAAUGGAGGAGGGCGGCCAUAAUCAAAUGAUGGGGGCCAAAGUAGUAGCCCUCAGAGAUACAGAAUAAUGCCUCUAGAAUGGUCUCUCGCCUCUGCACUCUAUGCUAAAGAGGAAAAAGAUUGGCGCAAAGCACCACAUCAACUAGGAGCAUCCUAGGGGGAAGUUCCUUUCUCAUAAUGAUCCUCUGGGAAGAUGUCCCUCGAGAUAGGAUACGAACCAUGUCCCACUCAGAAAGUGGGGCCCAACGUCUAAAUGCAGCGGGAUCUGCUGGUGCAUAAGGGAUAUGGAAAGCCUUGGCAAUCUGUCUAGCCCCCAAAAUACCCUGGCGUCCAUCAAUGGUAAAAAUGAUCGAGGCUGGUACCGAGACGCCACGAGUAGUCAUAGACUGGUAAAAGUCUAAAGCUACUCGAGGAUAAAAGAACUGGGGCGAAGUCAUAAAGGGUACAAGAUGGUACCUCUCAAGUAGGCGGUAUGAAUCCUGCAACUCAGGCUGCUGUCGCAAAAUAGAGUGAUCAAAAUAUGCCUCGACAUGAAAUGCUCUCGAUCGGCAAUCGGAGUUGCCCUCAAUGGGUGAGCUGGCUAUAGGGCGCCUGGUGGGAGGAGGCUGAGACUGUGAAUCCCGAGGUGCUCUGGAGGACUCUCCUGGCUCUGAAGUCUUGGCCUUCUUUGUAGGAGGACUCCUAGGUGGAAUCUGAGUAGGGGCCACAGGCGUGGCAGCUGCUCUCCUCGUAUGGUAUCUACGCUGAGGGGUAGAAUCAGAUACAUGUGGGGGUGCAUCUAGUGGGGUCCGCAUAGGGGCAGCUCUCCAACUGCUCUAGGGAGCUGAGGCAUAGCCUCCUCGGGUCUUAGGCAUGAGGAAGCGACGAAAUGAGGCUAAGAGGCUUGGGAUUGGGGAGGGUAGGGAUGGAGAAGCUCAAAAAUUCGCACAAGGGAGGGUGUUGUGCGAAAAUUUCACACAAGGGGAUGUGUUGUGCGAAAAUUUCGCACAAGGCACUAUUCACCCGCCCAAAUGCAAAAUUGUGGUGCUUUCAAAUGGGAAAAAUUCUUGGUUUUUAAGGGUGGGAAAUGCUGGCUAAGGUAGGAAAGGAGUUUUUCAUGGCGGCUAAGCUUAGAAAUGGGAGCUUUACAAGAAGAGAAUGAGAGAUUUUGAAGCUCCCAUAGCCCGCGGCAAUGGGUUUAUUAUGAAGAAACCGUGGCUUUGAUGGUUAUGCUUGAGGUUUUGAUUUGGAAAAAUCAAGGUUGGGUUUGGUUUAGGGAUGAAUUUGGAGUGUUGAGUGAAGAAAUGAAGGGUUUUUUAUGGUGGAAGGAGGAGAAUGAGCUGAAAAUGGAAGGUGCGGACUGUUGUGAAUAGUGAUGGUCGCGGCUAUGGAAUGAAACUAUGGAGAUGGGCUGCCAUGGUGGGGUUCAUGAUGGGGGAUGAUGAAGGAGAGGACGUUGUGGAUGGAAAAGGGGGAUCGGAAGAGAGGUGUUGAGAAAAUUGAAGAAGAAGAAGCUUAGAAUUGAAGAGGAGAAAAUGGUUCUUAAAGAGAAAGUGCGAAUUUCGCACAAGGUGAUGGGUAGUGCGAAAAUUUCGCAUUCCUGUGGUUUUCCAAGACAGAGAGCAUGGUUUUGAAAAUUGGUCACAAAAGCGAAUUCGCACAAGGUUCGCACAAGGUUCGCAUUCCUGUGAUUUUCGCAUUGAGAUUUUAGGAAGGACCAAGAGCAUGCUUUUGAAAAUUUGUCACAAAAGAGAAUUCGCACAAGGGGAUGUGUUGUGCGAAAAUUUCGCACAAGGGGAAUGGGUGGUGCGAAUUUUGCUGUGUCUUGGCUUUUCUCCCCUGUUUUCCCUUGUUUUCAUUCUUCAAGCUUUCCUACCUACAUGUUAACACAAAAACCAAUUCAAACCACAUUAGAAUGAACUCAAGGGCAAAAAUAAAAAUCAAAACAUGCAUAUACACAAGAAAAGAAAAAGAAAAACUAGAUUAAACUAAAAAUUAAUGCAAAAGGGAACAAAAAGAGGAUGAACUUUUUAGUCUUUGAAGAGACUAAGUUCAACCAUGAACUGAGUGUUUUCAUGUUGGAGGUGGAUCAAGGAGGAUGAAUUCCUCCUUGUCUCGGGAAAAUGAUUCCAUAUAGGGCUUGAGAUGAUGCCCAUUCACUUUGAAAGUUCGAGUGCUUUUGAAGUUGAGUAGUUCCACUACUCCAUUUGAUUGCACAUCAUGAAUUAUGAAAGGACCCGUCCACCUUGAUUUCAAUUUUCCCGGAAAAAGAUGAAGCUUUGAGUCAUAAAGCAAGACUCUUUGUCCCUUGGUAAAAUUCUUCUGAUUUACCAACUGGUCAUGCCAUUUCUUCAACCUCUCUUUUGCAAUUUUUGAAUUGAGGUAAGCAUCAUUCCUCAUUUCCUCCAAUUCAUUCAAAUCCAAACAUCUCUUUAACUCGGCUCUUGUCAAAUCCAUGUUGAGCUUCUUGAUUGCCCACCAUGCUUUAUAUUCAACCUCUACUGGAAGAUGGCAUGCUUUGCCAUAAACAAGGCGAUAAGGGGACAUUCCAAGAAUGGUCUUAUAAGUAGUCCUAUAAGCCCAUAAUGAAUCCAGGAGCUUAAUAGACCAAUCCUUCCUAUUCACAUUCACCACCUUCAUCGGUAUGUUCUUGAUUUCUCGGUUGGCUAACUCAACUUGGCCACUUGUUUGAGGGUGAUAAGGUGUAGCUACCUUGUGCUUGACCCAUAUUUGGCUAGAAGAGUCUCAAAAGGUUUAUUGCAAAAGUGGGUUCCUCCAUCACUUAUAAUGGCUUUAGGCACUCCAAAUCUUGCAAAGAUGUUCUCCUUGAGGAAUUUAAGAACCACCUUAUGAUCAUUGCUCCUACAUGGGAUUGCUUCUACCCACUUAGAGACAUAAUCCACUCCCACCAAAAUGUAGGAGUGUCCAAACGACAUUGGAAAUGGUCCCAUGAAGUCUAUCCCCCAAACAUCAAAGACAUCCACUAUCAAGAUGGGGUUCAAGGGCAUCAUAUUUCGGCGUGUUAGCUUCCCAAGCCUUUGACACUGGUCACAUCCCUUGCACAUAGUGUGGGCGUCCUUGAAAAGAAAGGGCCACCAAAAACCUGAUUGGAUCACUUUCAUAGCUGUUUUCUGGGAAGCAAAAUGACCUCCACAUGCACUAUCAUGACAAUGGGAUAGAAUUCCUGAUUGCUCUUGUUCAGGAACACAUUUCCUUAUGAUUUGAUCCGCACAAUAUUUGAAGAGAAAAGGCUCCUCCCAAUAAUAGGCAUGGAUCUUAGCAAAGAAAUGCCUCUUGUCUUGGGCACUCCACUCACUUGGAACUUCUCCAGUAACCAAGUAAUUUGCAAUGUGAGAAUACCAUGGAGCUACCUCUAUUGACAUGAGAGACUCCUCAGGGAAGUCAUCAUUGAUAAGUAAACCAUGUGAGUCAUGUGCUAUCACAAGUCUUGACAAGUGGUCAGCUACCACAUUUUCUACUCCCUUUUUAUCUCGGAUUUGGAGAUUGAAUUCUUUGAGCAAAAGGAUCCAUCUUAUCAAUCUUGCCUUGGCAUCUGGCUUGGUUAGCAAGUACUUCAAAGCGGAAUGGUCAGUGAACACCACUAUAGAGGACCCUACCAAAUAGGCACGAAACUUAUCUAAGGCAAAAACUAUUGCCAGCAACUCCUUUUCAGUAGUUGUGUAGUUCCUUUGAGCCUCAUUCAAAGUUUUGCUUGCAUAAUAAAUCACAUAGGGCUUUCCAUCUUCUCUUUGCCCCAAAACAGCCCCCAUAGCAAGAUCACUUGCAUUACACAUUACCUCAAAAGGUAAUUUCCAAUUUGGGGCUCUCACUAUUGGUGCAGUUGUGAGGAAUUGCUUUAGUUCCUCAAAACUCUUCUGACAUUUCUCAUCCCACACAAACUUGGCAUCCUUUACCAAAAGUUCACAAAGAGAUUUUGAGAUUUUUGAGAAAUCCUUAAUGAACCUCCUAUAGAACCUGGCAUGUCCUAGGAAUUGCCUAAUUCCUUUAACAUUUGUGGGAGGUGGCAACUUAACAAUUAGCUCCACCUUUGCCUUAUCUACCUCAAUGCCAUUCUUGGAGAUUAUAUGUCCUAAGACAAUUCCUUGUUGUACCAUAAAAUGACACUUCUCCCAAUUUAGCACUAGGUCUUUCUCAAUACAUCUUUGGAGAACAACUUCUAAAUGCAACAAACACUCCUCAUAAGAACCUCCAUAUACAGUGAUGUCAUCCAUGAAAACUUCCAUGAUGCGCUCCACCAUAUCACUGAAGAUGCUUAGCAUACAUCUUUGGAAAGUUGCAGGAGCAUUACAUAGACCAAAGGGCAUUCUCCUAUACGCAAAAGUACCAAAGAGGCAAGUGAAGGUUGUAUUUUCUUGAUCUUCCAAAUCAAUUUCUAUUUGGAAGUACCCCGAGUAACCAUCCAGAAAACAGUAGAAAGGAUGUCCUGAGACUCUCUCAAGGACUUGGUCCAUGAAAGGCAAUGAGAAAUGGUCCUUCCUAGUCACUGAAUUGAACUUCCUGUAGUCUAUACACACCCUCCAUCCUGAGGUAGGACGUGUAGAGACUUCCUCCCUUUUCUCAUUCUAGAUCACAGUAAUUCCAGAUUUCUUUGGGACUACUUGGGUUGGGCUCACCCACAAGCUAUCUGAAAUGGGAUAUAUGAUCCCUGCUUGAAGUAGUUUCAGAACUUCACCCCUUACCACCUCUUGCAUGUGAGGAUUCAACCUCCUCUGGGGCUGCCUUACUGGUUUUGCAUCAUCCUCCAUGUAGAUAUGGUGGGUGCAUACCAAAGGGCUAAUCCCUUUUAGAUCAGAAAUUUGCCAUCCAAUGGCUUUCUUGCAUUUUCUGAGGACUCCCAAAAGACUAUCCUCUUGAUCACUUGUGAGAUCUGAAGAAACCACCAUUGGACAUUUCUCAUCUUCCUCCAAAUAUGCAUACUUCAAAUCAAGAGGAAGCGACUUCAAAACAAGCUUUGGAGGGUCCUCCAUAGCUGCUCCUUGUGAGUCCUCCUUAUUGAACAGUGGUAAGAUCUCUUCCCGUCUCCUCCAAGGAGACAUGAUGGCUAGCACAUCAGAGGGUUCAGGUAACCCGUCUUCAAGCACUUCAAGGCUUUCAUUCAAGCUCUCUUCUAAAUUCUUGUCACAAUGCUCUUCAACCAAGGUGUUGAUCAAGCACACCUCCUCCAAUCCUUCCUCCUCUUCUGGGUGAAGAUGCCUCUUGCAUAGGUGGAAUAUGUUUAAUUCCAAUGUCAUAUUUCCAAAUGUGAGCUGCAUCACCCCAUUCCUACAAUUGAUGAUGGCAUUGGAGGUAGCUAGGAAAGGUCUCCCAAGGAUGAUUGGCACAUAGUUUGCUUCUUUAACAGUGGGAUCAGUAUCAAGCACCACAAAAUCCACAGGAUAGUAGAAUUUGUCCACUUGAACUAGAACAUCCUCUAUCACCCCCCUUGGGAUUUUUACCGACCUAUCAGCUAAGGAGAGAGUGAUGGUUGUGGGCUUCAAUCCUCCAAGUCCCAGUUGCUUAUACACAGAGUAUGGGAGCAAAUUCACACUUGCCCCUAAGUCUAGUAAAGCCUUUUCCACAUGUGUCCCUCCAAUGUUGACUGAAAUGGUGGGACAUCCCGAAUCUUUAUACUUAACUGGAGACUUACUCUGAAUGAUAGCACUUACUUGCUCAGUGAGGAAUGCCUUCUUUGUCACAUGUAACCCUCUCUUGACCGUGCACAAGUCCUUUAAAAAUUUUGCAUAUGUGGGGACUUGCUUGAUCAUAUCAAGUAAGGGUAUAUUCACCUUCACUUGUCUCAAAACUUUAAGAAUUUCUGAUGAAUUCUUGAUUUCCUUCUUUCCAUGUAAUGCUUGAGGAAAAGGGGGAGGCAUAUGUUUCU
rnacentral:lncRNA from 1 species